rnacentral:rRNA from 1 species
UACGAGGGGGGGCGAGCGUUGUUCGGAAUUAUUGGGCGUAAAGGGUGCGUAGGCGGUUCCGCAAGUCCUGUGUGAAAUCUUCGGGCUCAACUCGAAGUCUGCACGGGAAACUGCGGGGCUUGAGUGUGGGAGAGGUGAGUGGAAUUCCCGGUGUAGCGGUGAAAUGCGUAGAUAUCGGGGAGGAACACCUGUGGCGAAAGCGGCUCACUGGACCAUAACUGACGCUGAUGCACGAAAGCUGGGGGGAGCAAACAGG